rnacentral:rRNA from 1 species
UCGCCUGUUUACCAAAAACAUCGCCUCUUGCAAAACCAAUGAAUAAGAGGUCCCGCCUGCCCUGUGACUAUAAGUUUAACGGCCGCGGUAUUUUGACCGUGCGAAGGUAGCGCAAUCACUUGUCUUUUAAAUGGAGACCUGUAUGAAUGGCAUAACGAGGGCUUAGCUGUCUCCUAUUUCCAGUCAAUGAAAUUGAUCUCCCCGUGCAGAAGCGGGGAUAUAUACAUAAGACGAGAAGACCCUAUGGAGCUUUAGACACCAAAGCAGACCAUGUUAAACACUCCAAAACAAAGGACCGAACCAAAUGACCCCUGCCCUAAUGUCUUUGGUUGGGGCGACCGCGGGGAAACACAAAACCCCCACGUGGAACGAGAAUACUUCCUCUCACAACCAAGAGCUCCCGCUCUACUAAACAGAAAUUCUGACCAGUCAGAUCCGGCACAAGCCGAUCAACGGACCGAGUUACCCUAGGGAUAACAGCGCAAUCCCCUUUUAGAGACCAUAUCGACAAGGGGGUUUACGACCUCGAUGUUGGAUCAGGACAUCCUAAUGGUGCAGCCGCUAUUAAGGGUUCGUUUGUUCAACGAUUAAAGUCCUACGUGAUCUGAGUUCAGACCGGA